rnacentral:rRNA from 1 species
AUUGAACGCUGGCGGCAUGCCUUACACAUGCAAGUCGAACGGCAGCACGGGAGCAAUCCUGGUGGCGAGUGGCGAACGGGUGAGUAAAGUAUCGGAACGUGCCCAGUCGUGGGGGAUAACGUAGCGAAAGUUACGCUAAUACCGCAUACGAUCUAUGGAUGAAAGCGGGGGAUCGCAAGACCUCGCGCGAUUGGAGCGGCCGAUAUCAGGUUAGGUAGUUGGUGGGGUAAAGGCUCACCAAGCCGACGAUCUGUAGCUGGUCUGAGAGGACGACCAGCCGCACUGGGACUGAGACACGGCCCAGACUCCUACGGGAGGCAGCAGUGGGGAAUUUUGGACAAUGGGCGAAAGCCUGAUCCAGCCAUGCCGCGUGCAGGAUGAAGGCCUUCGGGUUGUAAACUGCUUUUGUACGGAACGAAAAGGUUUGGCCUAAUAAGCUGAGCUCAUGACGGUACCGUAAGAAUAAACACCGGCUAACUACGUGCCAGCCGCCGCAGUAA